CCUUUGUUUACUGUUUUGUUUCUAUUAUUGGCCAACGUGAAAGGCAGGGAUAGAUACGUGCAAUUUCGCAACCAUUUGAGCUUGGCAUCGUUAAUCAUAGAAUACUGAAUAAGCUUUCUGAUAAACAUAAUAGAAUCAAGGGGAAUAUAUACAAGGAAAUAAAAUAAAACAUUAAAGUUUGAGCAAGAUGGAAGAUAAUUUCGUUUGUGCUAUAUGUUUGGAAAUAGCAGAUGCUGCUGUAGAAACUAGCUGCUGUCACCACAUAUUUUGUGAAUCUUGCUUGGAUAGAUUACAAAAUAACGCGUGUCCAACAUGCCGUGCUCGUUAUACCGCCACACCGUCUCCAUUAGCUCGAAGAAUCAUAGGAGGUUUGGAAAUCGGAUGUGUCUAUAAUUGCGGAAUAAAACUAACGAGAUCAGAGAAAAAGAGUCAUGAACUGACGUGCCCAAAGAAAGUCUUUAGUUGUUCAGCUAAAGCUUGUGGAUUUCAAGGAACACGAGAUGACUUUUUGAACCACUUAAAUACAGAGCAUACCGAUGCGUUAUUAAAAGGAUCAUCGAAAUUGUUUGAAGAGGAAGUCCCUAUCGAUGCGUCUAAUCCCUAUAUUAAUAAUGAUCGCAUCAAGACACUGUAUGAACCUGGGCAUCCCGUUCGUCUCGGUGAAACUGGGAAGUACUAUUGUAUGCGGCAAUUGGAUGGGCAUUGUUCUUGUUGUAACGGUUAUUGUGGACCAACCAAUGGAUGUAAUUGCUCCAGCUGUAUGAAGAAAGAUGUUAACGUGCGGAUACUUCCACGGGGAUGGUUGGUUAAUCGAGACGGCGCAUCAUGUCGAAAAGGAAUAACUGGAAAGUAUUAUUGUGGUCGCCGUGUUAUGACGGAUGACAGACGUACCGAUGGUUAUUGUGGACCAACCAAUGGUAAUAACUGUAGAGCUUGUCGUAUCAUAGAUAAAAAGAGCACAACAAGGUAUGCAAAUGUCUGGUCUUAGAAGAAACAUAGACAUUUUAAAAUAAAAUUGAUUUGACGUGAAUUAACUCAUUUUUUGGAAAACAAUUAAUAAUACAUGUAUGUUAUGUAUAAUUUAUGCAUGGAUGGUGCUUCAAUGGAAAAAAAUCAUUUUGAAAUCCAUUAAAAGUCUCUAUAAAUUAAGGUAUAAAAUGGUAUACGACAAAGUGUGUUAUUUCUUUAACCGCCCUUAUGAUCCAUCAACAACCUUUCUCUUUUGUGAUAAGGUUCUCUACGAUAUUUUUACAUAAAUAUGGUUAAAAUGCUCAUUUUAUACCAUUUGAUGUGUGUUUUGUUUAAAGAAUUGUGUGUAGAGAAACUGAACUUUGAAUACGUUACUUUAGUGUUAUACCACACUCGUUAUUGGUAUUUCAGUUAACAAUAACUCGUUAUAACAAUAACUCGUUAUAAGUAUAUACGCUAUGUCAGUAUCCUGACCGCGGACUCCCUCUGUCCGCUAGAGUGUUGUCUAUAGUUUGACUGUUGUAUAGGAUAAUCUGUUAGACAGUGGCGUGGCUAGAGAUGGCGAAGCCCGGGGGGUCCUUAAGAUGGCCACCCCCACGAAAACUAAAUAUAAUUCUGCUAAAAGGGCCUACAGUACAGGAGUAAAAAACAUUUUCAAUGAAGUAGACAGCCCCCAACACCACUCACUCUAGCCACGUUACUGCCGUUAAUAUUAUAUUAUAGAAGAUUUAUCGUUUGAAUUUUUAUAAAACUAUAAUCUCUGUUUUUUAUUGUUGAUUAUAAUUAUGUACGUGUAUACUGAAAAAUAGUGUAGACUGAUUUGAAUUUAAUUAGAAUGCUACGUGUUUGUAAUUUAA